rnacentral:tRNA from 1 species
GGAUCUAUAAGCUCAAAAUGGAAAGAGCGCUCAUUUGAGAGGCUGAUGGUUCGAAUCCAUCUCGAUCCA